rnacentral:rRNA from 1 species
GAUGAACGCUAGCGGCAGGCUUAAUACAUGCAAGUCGAACGGUAAGGUCUCUUCGGAGAUACACGAGUGGCGCACGGGUGCGUAACGCGUAUGCAACCUACCUUUAACUGGGAAAUAGCCCCGAGAAAUCGGGAUUAAUGUCCCAUAUUAUUCUGAGAAUGCAUAUUCUUAGAAUGAAAGCUCCGGCGGUUAUUGAUGGGCAUGCGUGACAUUAGCUAGUUGGUGAGGUAACGGCUCACCAAGGCAACGAUGUCUAGGGGUCCUGAGAGGGUGAUCGGCCACACUGGGACUGAGACACGGCCCAGACUCCUACGGGAGGCAG